CCUACGGGAGGCAGCAGUGGGGAAUAUUGGGCAAUGGGCGCAAGCCUGACCCAGCAACGCCGCGUGAAGGAAGAAGGCUUUCGGGUUGUAAACUUCUUUUGUCAGGGAAGAGGAGAAGACGGUACCUGACGAAUAAGCCACGGCUAACGACGUGCCAGCAGCCGCGGUAAUACGGAGGGGGCAAGCGUUGUCCGGAUUUACUGGGUGUAAAGGGCGUGUAGCCGGGUUGACAUGUCAGAUGUGAAAUCCUGCGGCUUAACCGCAGAACUGCAUUUGAAACUGUUGAUCUUGAGUACUGGAGCGGCAGCUGGAAUUCCUAGUGUAGCGGUGAAAUGCGUAGAUAUUAGGCGGAACAUCAGUGGCGAAGGCGACUCUCUGGCACAUAACUGACGCUGAGGCGCGAAAGCGUGGGUAGCAAACAGGAUUAGAUACCCUUGUAGUC
rnacentral:rRNA from 1 species